CCUACGGGGGGCUGCAGUGGGGAAUAUUGGACAAUGGGGGGAACCCUGAUCCAGCCAUGCCGCGUGUGUGAAGAAGGCCCUCGGGUUGUAAAGCACUUUCAGUGAGGAAGAACGCCUGGUGGUUAAUACCCAUCAGGAAAGACAUCACUCCCAGAAGAAGCACCGGCUAACUCCGUGCCAGCAGCCGCGGUAAUACGGAGGGUGCGAGCGUUAAUCGGAAUUACUGUGCGUAAAGCGCGCGUAGGUGGCUUGAUAAGCCGGUUGUGAAAGCCCCGGGCUCAACCUGGGAACGGCAUCCGGAACUGUCAAGCUAGAGUGCAGGAGAGGAAGGUAGAAUUCCCGGUGUAGCGGUGAAAUGCGUAGAGAUCGGGAGGAAUACCAGUGGCGAAGGCGGCCUUCUGGACUGACACUGACACUGAGGUGCGAAAGCGUGGGUAGCAAACAGGAUUAGAUACCCUUGUAGUC
rnacentral:rRNA from 1 species